AUGCUCGGACAGACAAACGUGUUCAUUUGGUGACGUUUCACUUGAAAGUCGGAAGUUGGGCACAAACGCAUCCUUUAAUUGGUAUCGCUUUCUCUUUACAUGAGGCUCCCUUCCAUCAUCAUCAGUCUGACUCGAGUGUGCUGAAGAACAUUUCGUCCCUGAGACUGCAGACCAAAAAGAGCGAAAAGAACUAUUCGUUGAUCAAAACAUACAGAACCGAUUGACCAACUGCAACACCGAUUUGCGACGGCCUAUCUAUGACUAGAAUAGCACAAAUCAUGUACAAAGUACACAAAAAGCUGCUGUGGCGACACCUCUCGGAGAGUUCUUCCUUCAGCGUUUCAGUUUGUUCAACGGACUGGAACGACAGUCCCAAAGUCGAGCGCCGGCAGCUGUUCAAUGUCGCCCACUCGGCAUCCGUUGCAGGCUGGUCGCCCCGGUAGGGCGAUUCCGAUUCUGCCGUCUGCGGCCCCUGCUCAAGGGUUCUCAUUCGCGGUUGGCAAAGGGCUAACUUGACAUCUGGAGGACCGCCGGAGUUUGUUACGGAGUCCCAGCAAACGUUCAGGCGGUGGUUCUUCACCUGGCUUCGAUGAAUCAGUCUGCCAUGGAGGAGAAGACACACCCGACUCGACGUGUCAAAUUUCAACCGAGCGAGACAGAAGUGUCCCUUUCUGUUUGAAGAUCACACGAAAGAAGAGGACGAAAAACUGGGGGGGAGAUGGAAUGCUGGGACAAAGAUAAAUGCGGUCAGUCCAAGUACAAGGAAGGAUCAGACUUUUUACUAGAUGAGCAGUUUUUGUGUGUGUGUUUUUUGGAAAAGAAAUGACCCAGGCUAUUAUU